UUGCUUUUAUUGCAUCCUAGUGGCGGACGGGUGAGUAACACGUGAGCAACCUGCCCGACAUACUGGGAUAACAGCGGGAAACCGUUGCUAAUACCGGAUACUCCAUUUCUGGCGCAUGUCAGGAAUGGGAAAGGGUUUACCGAUGUCGGAUGGGCUCGCGUCCCAUUAGCUGGUUGGUGAGGUAACGGCUCACCAAGGCUGCGAUGGGUAGCUGGUCUGAGAGGACGAUCAGCCACACUGGAACUGAGACACGGUCCAGACUCC
rnacentral:rRNA from 1 species